rnacentral:rRNA from 1 species
ACACUCCUACGGGAGGCAGCAGUGGGGAAUAUUGGACAAUGGGCGCAAGCCUGAUCCAGCCAUGCCGCGUGAGUGAUGAAGGCCCUAGGGUUGUAAAGCUCUUUCACCGGUGAAGAUAAUGACGGUAACCGGAGAAGAAGCCCCGGCUAACUUCGUGCCAGCAGCCGCGGUAAUACGAAGGGGGCUAGCGUUGUUCGGAUUUACUGGGCGUAAAGCGCACGUAGGCGGACUAUUAAGUCAGGGGUGAAAUCCCGGGGCUCAACCCCGGAACUGCCUUUGAUACUGGUAGUCUUGAGUUCGAGAGAGGUGAGUGGAAUUCCGAGUGUAGAGGUGAAAUUCGUAGAUAUUCGGAGGAACACCAGUGGCGAAGGCGGCUCACUGGCUCGAUACUGACGCUGAGGUGCGAAAGCGUGGGGAGCAAACAGGAUUAGAAACACUGGUAGUCCCAUG